rnacentral:tRNA from 2 species
GGAGAGAUGGCCGAGUGGCUGAAGGCGCACCCCUGCUAAGGGUGUAUAGGAGAAAUCUUAUCGAGGGUUCGAAUCCCUCUCUCUCCGCCA